AAACGUCUUCAGGGCGGGGUGCAAUUCCCCACCGGCGGUAGGGGUGAAAGCCCGAGCCCGCGAGCGCUUUGAUGCAGCUGUCCCCCGGGCAGAAGUGUUGAAGGUCAGCAGAUCCGGUCCAAUGCCGGAGCCGACGGUUACAGUCCGGAUGAAAGAAGACGGCC
rnacentral:ncRNA from 1 species